GGGUCGAUAUCGGCGUCAAGCGGCGUAAGGUUGAGUCAUGCCUGUGAAAUUGCCCUGAUGUGGGGGAUAACCAUUGCAAACGAUGGCUAAUACCGCAUAAUAGCUUCGGCUCAAAGAGGGGGACCUUCGGGCCUCUCGCGUCAGGAUAUGCCCAGGUGGGAUUAGCUAGUUGGUGAGCUAAGGGCUCACCACGGCGACGAUCCCUAGCUGGUCUGAGAGGAUGCUCAGCCACACUGGAACUGAGACACGGUCCAGACUCCUACGGGAGGCAGCAGUGGGGAAUAUUGCACACUGGGCGCAAGCCUGCUGCAGCCUUGCAGCGUGUGUUAAGAAGGCCUAUCGAUUGUAAAGCACUUGCAGUCGUGAGGAAGAUAGACGGUUUAAUAGAGGCGUUAUUUGACGAUAGCGACAGAUGAAGCACCGGCUAACUCCGUGCCAGCAGCCGCGGGGCUACGGAGG
rnacentral:rRNA from 2 species